GGUGCUUGCACCUUUCAAGCGAGUGGCGAACGGGUGAGUAACACGUGGAUAACCUGCCUCAAGGCUGGGGAUAACAUUUGGAAACAGAUGCUAAUACCGAAUAAAACUUAGUAUCGCAUGAUACAAAGUUGAAAGGCGCUACGGCGUCACCUAGAGAUGGGUCCGCGGUGCAUUAGUUAGUUGGUGGGGUAAAGGCCUACCAAGACAAUGAUGCAUAGCCGAGUUGAGAGACUGAUCGGCCACAUUGGGACUGAGACACGGCCCAAACUCCUACGGGAGGCUGCAGUAGGGAAUCUUCCACAAUGGGCGAAAGCCUGAUGGAGCAACGCCGCGUGUGUGAUGAAGGCUUUAGGGUCGUAAAGCACUGUUGUAUGGGAAGAAAUGCUAGAAUAGGGAAUGAUUCUAGUUCGACGGUACCAUACCAGAAAGGGACGGCUAAAUACGUGCCAGCAGCCGCGGUAAUACGUAUGUCCCGAGCGUUAUCCGGAUUUAUUGGGCGUAAAGCGAGCGCAGACGGUUGAUUAAGUCUGAUGUGAAAGCCCGGAGCUCAACUCCGGAAUGGCAUUGGAAACUGGUUAACUUGAGUGUUGUAGAGGUAAGUGGAACUCCAUGGUA
rnacentral:rRNA from 1 species